GCCCCCCUAGCUCAGUCGGCAGAGCACAUCCAUGGUAAGGAUGGGGUCGCCGGUUCGAUUCCGGCGGGGGGCUCCA
rnacentral:tRNA from 1 species